rnacentral:misc_RNA from 1 species
CGUACUGUAGGCCGGUCUGACCGGUUCUAUUCUACCCUGUUUUUUGCGCACUCUCUGUUUCCUCGGCAGGCUUUGCUUGCCGAUAGGACCCUAUUUUCAACUCUAUGUUAUAGUAGUAUUCAGCGUCAAAGCAAAUAUAAAAUUUGUAA